AGAGGAACAGAGUCUUGCUGAGGAAGAAGUGAAGGAAGUGACUGAGGACUCUAUUGUCGAGGAACCAGAAGCAAAAGAGGAAGCAGAGCCACAGCAGACCUCCCCCUCUCCACCUCCAAGUCCUGAACCAGUUGAGACAGCGGAGCCAGAGCCAGAGCCAGAGCCUGAAUCACAACCUGAGCCAGAGCCAGAGACCAAGGAAGCCAGUCCAGAAGCAGAGCCUAUAACCCAGCAGCCACAGAAAUCUGAGAAAGACGGUCAAAGCCCCAACGCUGACAAAACAUCUGAAAAACUCCAGUCAGCUGUGAUGCAAUUAAGAGCUGCCUGAUGCGCAUUCCGCACACCUCAGAGUGCUUCGGCAACAUCAACGCAUUCUUCAAAGAAAACGGCAUCUCCACUCCCAAAAUACCCUCCAUGCCUAAGCUACCCACCCAGCUCUCUGACGUUACCAAGUACCUACCCUCCCUACCACCUGAAUUGCGCCAAGAGUUCUCCCAGAUCCGACUCACACAGGUCCCGCGAAAUAUUGCCCAAACUCUGACUGAGUUGUUGCCCAAAAGCUCUGAAGGAUCAGUUGGCCCCAGUCUGUCCAGUCUUUCCCAGAGCUUUUCAGACAUCCCGCAGAAGCUCUCCCAGAUUCCUAGCCGGACGCAGCAGUACUUCCUUAACGUCCAGAACCGCCUCAACAGCCUUAUGCCUCAAGAUGCCUAAGAAACAACAACAGCAAAAUCAGCAGAAAGACAAGAAUCAGCACGAUUUAGAGCUCAACCAGCUCAUCCGACACUCCCCUCUCCCUCCUGCUCACCAUCCUCAGCUCCGCUCCCGCUCCCCGUCGCCAUCCUCUCCUAACGGAAGCGCCCUCGAACUGCCAAAUGUGCCAUCCUACCCACGCCUGCCGCCUAUUGUCAGUCCCCCAUCAAAGCAGCUCAACUCACUUUCCCGCCAGCUGUCAGGUCUCUCUAACCCGGCGUUCUUCAUUGAAGACGACUCAGACAUUCCAGCAAUAAGACGUGCAGACAGCUCAAGCAUAAGCCUUCGUCCAGCCGUCAAUGUAGAGGAUGUUGACUCAGAUCAUGAGAUAGGGGGGAGAGGAAGAGGAGGGGAGGGACAGAGCAAUGUUCCCCAAAUCCUAACCCCACAGGACCCAAAACUUACAACCCUAACUGUCCCCGUGACCCCUUCAGGAGGUCGUCAAAGUAAAGGAGAAAAAGAUAGGAGGCUGCACUCCCAAAGUGAGGACGAUGAUGAUGAAGCAAACAUCCCUGUCAGAGCCUGGCCCAGCCAGUCCAGCCUGCACAGCACAGAUGACAUACUUAAAGAGCGUCCAGCGUCUUCAGCUAGUCAGACCAGUACAGUGGUCAACGAGCGUCUUCAGGAGCUGGUCCGGAUGUUUAAAGAGAGAACCGAGAAGGCUAAGGAGAAACUCAUUGACCCUGACAGCUCAGAUGAAGACAGCAUUAUCCCAUCUCCUCCUCAGGCUUCAGCUCCUCAGCCUGCUCCUGCAGCUCAGCCGGUGGACGAGGGAGAGGCACAAGCAGGUCCAUCAGGAGGAGCCGGAGGGGGAGGAGGAAUAGAAAGUGGAGCAGAGGAGGAGCAGUGUGGCCGCCGCAGCAAGGUGAAAACUCCUCGAUGGAUACAAGCCUGUAUGCACUACCGCUUCCCUGCCAGCAUCGACCCCUUCACCAACCUGAUGUACGUGCUGUGGAUGCUACUGGUCACUCUGGCAUGGAACUGGAACGUGUGGUUCAUCCCUGUGCGCUGGGCGUUUCCCUACCAGACUCCAGACAAUAUUUACUACUGGCUGCUGAUCGACUACCUGUGUGACCUUAUUUACAUUCUGGACAUCAGCAUCUUUCAGCCGCGGCUGCAGUUUAUCCGAGGAGGGGACAUAGUGUUUGAUGUAGCCAGCCUUAUUCCGCUGGAACUCUUCUAUUUUAAAACUGGCGUCAACCCUCUACUUCGCUUACCCAGACUACUGAAGAUCAACUCCUUUUUUGAGUUCAACGAGCGUCUCGAGGCCAUCUUAACCAAAGCCUACAUCUACAGGGUGAUACGUACGACCACCUACCUUCUUUACUGUCUCCACUGCAACGCCUGUCUGUACUACUGGGGCUCUGCCUUCAAUGGACUAGGAUCAACAAAAUGGGUGUAUGAUGGCAAGGGCAACAGUUACAUUCGCUGUUACUACUUUGCGGUGAAGACCCUCAUCACCAUUGGCGGUCUGCCGGACCCCACCACCCUGUUUGAGAUUGUCUUCCAACUUAUCAACUACUUUGUUGGAGUCUUCGCCUUCUCUAUCAUGAUUGGACAGAUGCGUGACGUGGUCGGUGCAGCCACAGCUGGUCAGACUUACUACCGCACAUGUAUGGACAACACGAUUAAAUACAUGUCCUCCUAUCGAAUCCCCAAAGACGUCCAAAACCGUGUCAAAACCUGGUACAACUAUACCUGGCAAUCACAAGGCAUGCUAGAUGAGCAGGAGUUACUGACUCAGUUGCCAGAUAAAAUGCGUCUGGACAUUGCUAUAGAUGUCAACUAUUCCAUCGUCAGCAAAGUCCCCCUUUUCCAGGGUUGUGACAGACAGAUGAUCUUUGACAUGCUGAAAAGCUUACGCUCCGUUGUUUACCUGCCUGGAGAUUAUGUCUGCAAAAAGGGUGAGGUGGGUCGGGAGAUGUACAUCAUAAAAGCAGGGGAGGUGCAGGUGGUUGGAGGGCCUGAUGGAAAGACAGUCUUUGUAACUCUCAGAGCAGGAUCAGUGUUUGGAGAGAUCAGUUUGCUUGCAGUAGGCGGGGUUAACAGGCGCACAGCAAACGUGAUCGCACACGGCUUUGCCAAUCUCUUCAUCCUGGACAAGAAAGACCUGAAUGAGAUCCUGGUCCACUAUCCCGAGUCCAAGAAACUGCUCCGCAAGAAGGCCAGAAAGAUGCUUGCUAAGGGAAAGAAACCUGAACCCAAAGCAGAGGCUAAGGAUCCACCUCAGGUCCCGCCAGCCCCUGUUAGGGCGGAGACCCCUAGACUGCUGAGAGCUGCCCUGGAGAUGACAGAGAGAUCGUCUGGACUUAAAGGAGCUCUGGCUAAAGUCAAAGAGAAGACCAACAAGUCCAGUAUCUCGUUACAGGUAAACAGAGUGAAAACUGAGCAGACCAAAAAAGAAACAGAUGCAUAUGUGGCAGUGCCCUCCAUCUCCUCCACCCUGCCUCCUCCAUCUCCCACCUCCAGCUCAGGACCUGACAGAGACGCAGACACGCCGUCACCCAUGUCUGCCAGCUCUGCGAUGUAUCGCUCCGCUUCCCAUUGCCGCAACAACAACAACAACUCUGCCAGGCCUCACUCUCCCUCGCAGUGCCAUGGCGACGAAGACGAGAUUCUUGCCGUGAACCGAAGAGAGGAGGGUGCCAGUGAGGUUGAUGGAAGCAGAUGUGGGAAUAGGAAGGAGAAGACGUUGUGA
rnacentral:lncRNA from 1 species